rnacentral:rRNA from 1 species
GUGGGGAAUAUUCCGCAAUGGACGAAAGUCUGACGGAGCAACGCCGCGUGAGUGAUGAAGGUUUUCGGACUGUAAAGCUCUGUUGUUUAGGACGAAAGUGCCUGUUGCAAAUAGUUACAGGUAUUGACGGUACUGAACGAGGAAGCCACGGCUAACUACGUGCCAGCAGCCGCGGUAAUACGUAGGUGGCAAGCGUUGUCCGGAAUUAUUGGGCGUAAAGAGCAUGUAGGCGGGAAUCUAAGUCUGUUGUGAAAAUGCGGGGCUCAACCCCGUAUUGCGAUGGAAACUUGGUUUCUUGAGUGCAGGAGAGGAAAGGGGAAUUCCCAGUGUAGCGGUGAAAUGCGUAGAUAUUGGGAGGAACACCAGUGGCGAAGGCGCCUUUCUGGACUGUGUCUGACGCUGAGAUGCGAAAGCCAGGGUAGCGAACGGGAUUAGAUACCCCAGUAGUCC